GGGGCCUUUAAGUGCCGGAGCCCAGCGAGCGGAGCAGUUAGGAGCCUGUGAACCAGACAUGGAAGCGGGGCAGCCAUAAAAAAGCAACACGUGAAGGAAAGCGUCCAGCCAGCCAUCAAAGAUGCCACGGCGUGCAAAAAGAUUACAAACAGAGCCGGAGCUCACUAUGAACAGUUUUGUCUUGUACCCUGGACAGGAUAUCAUCUUAUACUGUAAGUUUAUUAAAGAGACACUACAGUAUAGAUGAUGUACUAUCCAGGGUUUCAUUCCCCCUACGGCACUACACAGACACACACUCAGGUCCAACUGACUGCAGUAGCUGCGCAAUCUUUAGAGGAGGGCCAUCAAACCGUUACCAUUACUGAGUUUUAGCAAUGGUAAGGGUUAUAUGGCCCUCGCUCGCUGUCUUCUGGACUGGGAGGACGAGGAAAUUUGGUGAUUGAUGUGUUAUUCAUGAGCUCCUGGAGGACAUCUUCUGAUCCCAUUUUUGAGAUGUACUUGUGGAUGCAUGUAAAAUAAAGCUUAUGGCUCCCAAACAAA